rnacentral:misc_RNA from 1 species
GAGUAUCCGCGAAGUUACUACAAGUGCACACAUCCAAAUUGUCCAGUGAAAAAGAAGGUUGAAAGAUCAUUGGCUGGGCAGAUUGCAGAAAUUGUCUACAAGGGUGAACACAACCAUUCAAAGCCUCAGCCUCCUAAACGCAACUCAUCAGGGAUGCAAGGGCUAGGAAUUGUGUCCGAUGGCAAUGGUCAAGAUAUGAGCACCCCAUUAUCGAACAAUCACCUGAAUGAUAGAAAUGAAGGUUCUGAAGGUAGAGUUGAAGAUCAGAAUGAAACAGGAUUGCCUGUUCAUUCAACUUAUCAGGGUAAAGCUCCUCCAUCCCAUGAUCCUGUUGGAAUUGGAUCGAUUAAUGCUGGUGUUGUAACUUCUGACAACUCUUGUGGGCUUAGUGGGGAAUGUGAUGAAGGAAGUAAGGGAAUGGAUGGAGAUGAUGAUGAGCCUAAAGCUAAAAGGAGGAAAAAUGAUAAUCAAUCAAAUGAAGCAGGCGUAUCGGGCAAAGGUGCACAAGCACAAGAGCCCUGUCUAUUGGUGCAAAGUUCUAAUGAAACUGAGAUUGUGGGUGAUGGUUUUCGCUGGAGAAAAUAUGGGCAGAAGGUUGUGAAAGGAAAUCCAUAUCCCAGAAGUUACUAUCGAUGCACGGGUCUAAAAUGCAAUGUCCGCAA